UGUUCCUACGGGACGCAGCAGGGAAUCUUCCACAAUGGGCGAAAGCCUGAUGGAGCAACGCCGCGUGGGUGAAGAAGGUCUUCGGAUCGUAAAACCCUGUUGUUAGAGAAGAAAGUGCGUGAGAGUAACUGUUCACGUUUCGACGGUAUCUAACCAGAAAGCCACGGCUAACUACGUGCCAGCAGCCGCGGUAAUACGUAGGUGGCAAGCGUUAUCCGGAUUUAUUGGGCGUAAAGGGAACGCAGGCGGUCUUUUAAGUCUGAUGUGAAAGCCUUCGGCUUAACCGGAGUAGUGCAUUGGAAACU
rnacentral:rRNA from 1 species